AUGAACGCUAGCUACAGGCUUAACACAUGCAAGUCGAGGGGCAGCAUGAACUUAGCUUGCUAAGUUUGAUGGCGACCGGCGCACGGGUGAGUAACACGUAUCCAACCUGCCGAUGACUCGGGGAUAGCCUUUCGAAAGAAAGAUUAAUACCCGAUGGCAUAGUUCUUCCGCAUGGUAGAACUAUUAAAGAAUUUCGGUCAUCGAUGGGGAUGCGUUCCAUUAGGUUGUUGGCGGGGUAACGGCCCACCAAGCCUUCGAUGGAUAGGGGUUCUGAGAGGAAGGUCCCCCACAUUGGAACUGAGACACGGUCCAAACUCCUACGGGAGGCAGCAGUGAGGAAUAUUGGUCAAUGGACGAGAGUCUGAACCAGCCAAGUAGCGUGAAGGAUGACUGCCCUAUGGGUUGUAAACUUCUUUUAUACGGGAAUAAAGUGAGGCACGUGUGCCUUUUUGUAUGUACCGUAUGAAUAAGGAUCGGCUAACUCCGUGCCAGCAGCCGCGGUAAUACGGAGGAUCCGAGCGUUAUCCGGAUUUAUUGGGUUUAAAGGGAGCGUAGGCGGACGCUUAAGUCAGUUGUGAAAGUUUGCGGCUCAACCGUAAAAUUGCAGUUGAUACUGGGUGUCUUGAGUACAGUAGAGGCAGGCGGAAUUCGUGGUGUAGCGGUGAAAUGCUUAGAUAUCACGAAGAACUCCGAUUGCGAAGGCAGCCUGCUGGACUGUAACUGACGCUGAUGCUCGAAAGUGUGGGUAUCAAACAGGAUUAGAUACCCUGGUAGUCCACACCGUAAACGAUGGAUACUAGGUGUAGGAGGUAUUAAGCCUUCUGUGCCGUCGCAAACGCAGUAAGUAUCCCACCUGGGGAGUACGGCCGCAAGGUUGAAACUCAAAGGAAUUGACGGGGGCCCGCACAAGCGGAGGAACAUGUGGUUUAAUUCGAUGAUACGCGAGGAACCUUACCCGGGCUUGAAUUGCAACUGAAUGAUGUGGAGACAUGUCAGCCGCAAGGCAGUUGUGAAGGUGCUGCAUGGUUGUCGUCAGCUCGUGCCGUGAGGUGUCGGCUUAAGUGCCAUAACGAGCGCAACCCUUAUCGAUAGUUACCAUCAGGUGAUGCUGGGGACUCUGUCGAGACUGCCGUCGUAAGAUGUGAGGAAGGUGGGGAUGACGUCAAAUCAGCACGGCCCUUACGUCCGGGGCUACACACGUGUUACAAUGGGGGGUACAGAAGGCAGCUACACGGCGACGUGAUGCUAAUCCCUAAAGCCUCUCUCAGUUCGGAUUGGAGUCUGCAACCCGACUCCAUGAAGCUGGAUUCGCUAGUAAUCGCGCAUCAGCCACGGCGCGGUGAAUACGUUCCCGGGCCUUGUACACACCGCCCGUCAAGCCAUGAAAGCCGGGGGUACCUGAAGUGCGUAACCGCGAGGAGCGCCCUAGGGUAAAACUGGUGAUUGGGGCU
rnacentral:rRNA from 1 species